rnacentral:lncRNA from 1 species
UGAGGGCGGUCGACCAGCAUGCAGAGGGACAGAUGACGGAGAAGGGCUGGGCCGAGAGAGGAAGCGCCGGUGGUUGGCGGUGGCGCGGCCGGAGGCCAGGCGUGCUGCCUGCUGCGUAGACGGCAGCAGCGGCGGCGGUCUUCCUCGGCCGUCCGCCGCAGAGGACGCAAAGGAGGGGGAGUGGCGCGAGGCGGCUGAAGGCGAGUCUCGCCGGAGUGGCUGCAGGCGGCGGCGGCAACGGAUCUGGGAGGAAGAAGAAGUGGCGGAGAUUCUGGAAGAGAGAGAGAGUGGAGAGAGUUUUGAGUGAGGUGAGAGAGGGACGACCAGAGGGAGGUGUUUUCGGCGAGGAUUUCGCCGGAGCUGGAGCAGGCGGCCGGCGUGGAGCUUGGGGAGGAAGGGCGGAGGUUCUGGAGAGAGGGAACGAGAGCUUGGGGAGGAGAGAGAACCGAUGGGGGGGGGGUUUGAAGAGAGAGAAAUCUUGUUUUAUUAUUCCUUUAUUUUAGGGCUUUAUUUCUUUAAAAUUUGGACUCAUACUUUGGGCUUUACUAAUUAUUUAUUGUGUGGGCUGAUUUUGUUAAAUCAAUGGGCCGAUUUUUUUUAAUAUAAGCACUUGACCUAUUUUAAUCUUUUGAAUGGGCUUCAUAAUGGAUCUAGAUUGUUUUUGGGCUGCACUAUCUAUAACAGGCCUUUACAUUAUUAUCUUGGGUUUUAACUAAUAUCUUGAGCUUGAAAAUAGUUUAAUAAUAAACUAUUAAUUUUUCUCCCAAUAUUAAGGUUUAUAUUAUCUUUAAAAUUUUUAAUUA